CCAUAUGCAACCGCGGUGGCGCAGAGUGUCCCCCUGUGUCCAGGCCUGCUGGGUCAUCACCAGCCAGGCCGAGCGCUCCUGACGGGCCCCACGUCCAGCCGCUGGAAGGGCUCGCUGCCACGCCCCGGCCUUGCUCCCUGGAAUCUGCCCGCCCCUCCCCCCCAGCUGCACCCCAGGGGCUUGGCUUCUAGCGCUGAGAUCAGACUGACCCUCGUCCCAGGAACACUGCCCCGGGUUUCCUAGUGGAGAGGCCAGUUAGCAGAUACUUUCUGAGCUCCUGCGGGGAUCUGGAUGCUUCGUCUUCACGGUGCUCAGAACUCGCAGGUUCAAUGAAGGUUGGCAGGAGGGCUCUGCUCCUUGUAAUCACUCGGACAUCCUGGCUGAUGGAGGCUUCAUCUUGAUGUGUGUUCCUAAUGAUCACCAGAGCAGAGUGGCAAAUCACAUGCUGCUUCUCAAAGAGUCUGCCCUUUGUCACUUCCACCCAUGUCGAUAGACCAAAGCGGUUCACACGACCAUACUUAGUUUCAAAGAGGGUGGGAAAAAACAACCCUAUUCUGAAAGAUCAAGAGCCAGUCUUACCAAGUCAAGAGUACUAAUGGCAACUUCAGAGAGGAGAACAGGGAGUCAUACAAGAUUCUUAAAACCAAAACCAAAACCAAGCAAUCCAUGGUUGAGCUAAUAUAUCAAGUGCGAAGGAGCGCAUAGAUGAUCUAAAAUUGGGUGCCUGGGGAAAGGGACCUGGGAGACACGUUGGACCAUCAGAGAGCCGGAAGGUUAGGGUUUUCUGGGCACUCACAGUAAGCGAGAUACUUAUUCUGGCUUCGCAUCAGUACCUCCAAGGGGAAAAGAGAUACAGUGAUGGUAAUGUAUACAGCCUUCCUGUUAGUCUGAGGGUUAAUGAAAGUUGGGGGAGGAGGUACUUAACUCCCUGUUUUCUAUUCAGUUUUGAGGAGAGCGGCCUCUUCAACAAAAAGAACAUUUUUUUGAGUUCACAGUACAUUUCCACAGUGACAAAUUUUGCCAACCUCACCAAAAUUUAAGCUAAACCUGAAUAAUAAGUUGACUAUUUAUUUUAUGAAUUGGAUGCACAUCCUGCCGGGUUUUCCAAGUGGUUCUGACAACAGAAUCCCUCAUCUAUAAUACCCAUCCACAGCCCUCAUCUAUAGCUCCCUUGUUGUUCUGAGGAUAAUAUAUUGAUUGAGCUGCUUUCGAUGGCGUUCUUUCCAUGCUUCUCACAUGAGGAAGAAUUACUGCUGUUUUUCCCCAGGAGACCUAAAACGACUGCAUUUUUACACAUGUUAUUUACUGUAUACGUUCUAAUAUCAAAAUGGUCAAUUCAUUUAUAAUCUUUUUAAACACGCCUUAGAGAAUUAAAAAGUCUCCUCUUAUGUUUGUAUGGGAAGGCUCUUAGUUUCUUUUGCACAUAAGUUUUACUUUGCAACCCAUUAAUUGAUCAUGUGUCCAUAAAUAGUUAACAUUAAUUAUGCAUAAUUAGCAUAUGAUAAUGUAGGACACAUGUUUCAAGUGAAUAUUAGACAGCAUAAUUAUACUGAAUAUUAUUGCGUUCAGUUAUGUAGGUCUACUCAAAAUAUGAUGGAUGGUGUGUUCAUCUCUACUGAAUCCAUUUACCUGGCCUACAGCGAUGAUUUUAAAAUAAACACAGUGGGAAAUAAAUGCACAUAAGUUAAAUACUGUUAAGCACUAAGGAGUAUUUCCAAGUAGUAAGAGCUGAAGGGCAGCUGACCAGUUGUUUUGCCUUUAGAUAGAUUAUUUUAGAUCCAUAUUGUAGAUUUUAGAGCUCAGCUUUAAAAUCCUUCAGAACUCAAAGGCUGUUUUAUGUAAACUGUUCUGACAGGCAAAACGGUUCCUUUUUAAAUAUAAUUCACCUCUGCUCUGCAGGCUUAUUGUGAGGAACAAAAACAUCUAUGCGUAACAACAAACAACUAUUUUUGGCAUAUGCAGAAUGGAAGGUGCUUAAGCAGAAGGGAAACCCUCCUGCAUUGUACUGUUGGUCCUAAAGCACCAGGUGAAAUCCAGCAAGAGAAAUAAGGCUCCGGCCCUGGGAUACCUUGAGAGCCUGAUGAUCUCAGUUCCUGCCUUCCCAGAAUUUACUGUCAAGAGAGGGAUUCACACAAGUAAACAGGCAAUCAAAAGUCAGACCCCACUGCAUGGUUAAUGACACAAGUUGGAGGAAGCUUGGGGAUUGUGCCAGUGGACACAGACACUAACCUUGUCAAAGCAGAAAGAGACGACAUACUUAUGGUACGGAGAGCCACUCAGUUCCUAAGCUCCUGAAGCAACUGGGAAGCAAGAGAUUUGAUGUCAACACACUUACCCCAUGGUAGGACUUCUCCAAAGGCAGCAGCCAUCAAUCAUCUCUCCUAAAAGUGCAGAUGAACAGAGGACUCAUUCUGAGUCAUGUAAUGAGGCAACAGAUGAAGAACAUUGCAACAUAAUCCAUAGCCCCUCACCGACUGCUGCAGCAUCCAAGCAGAUGAACAGAUAGAUCCUGGUCCUAAGUGAGCUGUUUUGCUUGUCUGAGACCCUCCAGCCUACAGGACAGAUACCCACUGUAUUGCCUUUACUGUGUCAGCCUGGGCACUAACCUCCUUUAAAACAUCGCCUCUAUGGAAAAAAUGUGUUUCAAAUCGUAAACAACUCACAUGCAAAUAAACGUUUUGGAAUUCAACCUGUUUGUAGGUUGGAGACAGCUGAUACUUAUAAUGCAGUAAAUUUUAUUCAAAAGGAAAGAACCCAUAAUAUGAAUUAACCCAUUGUUUCAGCCUUAAGCGAUAAAUAAUACUAGCAAUAAAACCAAGGUGUUGGAAAGUUUCAGAAGGUCAAUUGGGAGCAUAAUGCGUGGUAUUAUUGUGUUCUAGCAUAAGCUUCAGCUUGCUAUUGAGGUAACUGCCAAGACCUGAGGAGGUGCCUGGUCCUCAGAAGUCCUCGGAGUCGAACACAUAUUAAACAUAAUUUAAUUUCACAACUCCAUAGAUUAGGCUAUAUUAUUACCUACGUUUUAUAGAUGGGUAAACUGAGACACAGAGGAGUGAAAUAGCUUUCUUAUAGCAUAGGGCUCAUGAACGUCUAAGCUAUGAUUUUUAUUAGGCAAUGUGACCACUGAGCACACUUCACCAUGUGCGGGUCACAAGAGUCAGAUAAAGGAGGUCAUCUGGGUCAUAAUGUUAUACCUAAAGAAUAAGAAAAGGAAAAAAAAAAAAAAAGGCCAAACACUGCCUUGGCUUGGGCAGUUCCCUGUGACAACACUAUCAGAGGAAGAAGAAUCUUGUGAGUGAGUGUGGGUGUGCAUUUGGAAGUGCACAGUUGCAUAUUUGGCAUGUUUAAAUUUAACAUCGGAGGAUUGGACUUAAGGAUUGGACUUUCGAUGCCUUGAUUGUCUGAUUUCCACAAUACUAUUCUUGCUCAUGCCUGAGGGCCAUAACAAGGAAGUCCCUAGAGUCUAGACCUUCUUGUGGUCUUAAAAACAAUGGAUUUUGUCUAUUUAGGUCUCCAUAAAAUACAGUGAGCUUUGCCUUUUAUGACUUUUCAAUGUCAGUUU